rnacentral:rRNA from 1 species
UACAGAGGGUGCAAGCGUUGUUCGGAAUUACUGGGCGUAAAGGGCUCGUAGGUGGCCAACUAAGUCAGACGUGAAAUCCCCAGGCUCAACUUGGGAACUGCGUCUGAUACUGGAUGGCUUGAGUUUGGGAGAGGGACGCGGAAUUCCAGGUGUAGCGGUGAAAUGCGUAGAUAUCUGGAGGAACACCGGUGGCGAAGGCGGCGUCCUGGACCAACACUGACACUGAUGAGCGAAAGCCAGGGGAGCAAACGGGAGUUAA